GAUCUGGUUCAGGAUGAACGCUGGCGGCGUGCUUAACACAUGCAAGUCGAACGGAGAUAGCGGAGAGCUUGCUUCUGCUAUCUUAGUGGCGGACGGGUGAGUAACGCGUGGGUAACCUACCCUGUACAGGGGGAUAGCAGCUGGAAACGGCUGAUAAAACCGCAUAAAACGGCAGUACCGCAUGGUACAACCGUCAAAUAUUCAUAGGUACAGGAUGGGCCCGCGUCUGAUUAGCCAGUUGGUGGGGUAACGGCCUACCAAAGCGACGAUCAGUAGCCGGCCUGAGAGGGUGAACGGCCACAUUGGGACUGAGACACGGCCCAAACUCCUACGGGAGGCAGCAGUGGGGAAUAUUGGACAAUGGGGGAAACCCUGAUCCAGCGACGCCCGCGUGAGUGAAGAAGUAUCUCGGUAUGUAAAGCUCUAUCAGCAGGGAAGAUGAUGACGGUACCUGACUAAGAAGCACCGGCUAAAUACGUGCCAGCCGCAGC
rnacentral:rRNA from 1 species